rnacentral:rRNA from 1 species
AGUGAACGCUGGCGGUAGGCCUAACACAUGCAAGUCGAACGGCAGCACAGUAAGCUCUUGCUCUUACGGGUGGCGAGUGGCGGACGGGUGACGAAUACAUCGGCAUCUACUUUUUCUUGGGUGAUAUCGUAGGGCCACUUACGCUACUACCUCAUACGUCCUACGGGUGAAAUCAGGGGUUCUUCGGACCUUGCGCGAUUCAAUGAGCCGAUGUCGGAUUAGCUAGUUGGCGUGGUAAAGGCCCACCAAGGCAACGAUGCGUAGCUGGUCUGAGAGGAUGAUCAGCCACACUGGAACUGAGACACGGUCCAGACUCCUACGGGAGGCAGCAGUGGGGAAUAUUCGACAAUGGGCGCAAGCCUGACCCAGCAACGCCGCGUGGGUGAAGAAGGUCUUCGGGUUGUAAAGCCCUGUUGUUGGGAAAGAAAAACAGCGGGUGAAAACCCGGAUGUUCUGACGGUACCAAAAGAGUAAGCAACGGCUAACUUCGUG